rnacentral:rRNA from 1 species
AGUGAACGCUGGCGGUAGGCCUAACACAUGCAAGUCGAACGGCAGCACAGUAAGAGCUUGCUCUUACGGGUGGCGAGUGGCGGACGGGUGAGGAAUACAUCGGAAUCUACUUUUUCGUGGGGGAUAACGUAGGGAAACUUACGCUAAUACCGCAUACGACCUACGGGUGAAAGCAGGGGAUCUUCGGACCUUGCGCGAUUGAAUGAGCCGAUGUCGGAUUAGCUAGUUGGCGGGGUAAAGGCCCACCAAGGCGACGAUCCGUAGCUGGUCUGAGAAGAUGAUCAGCCACACUGGAACUGAGACACGGUCCAGACUCCUACGGGAGGCAGCGGUGGGGAAUAUUGGACAAUGGGCGCAAGCCUGAUCCAGCCAUACCGCGUGGGUGAAGAAGGCCUUCGGGUUGUAAAGCCCUUUUGUUGGGAAAGAAAAGCAGCAGGUUAAUACCCCGCUGUUCUGACGGUACCCAAAGAGUAAGCACCGGCUAACUUCGUG